UACGUAGGGUGCAAGCGCUGUCCGGAAUUAUUGGGCGUAAAGAGCUCGUAGGCGGUCUGUCGCGUCGGCUGUGAAAACCCGGGGCUCAACCCCGGGCCUGCAGUCGAUACGGGCAGACUAGAGUGCGGUAGGGGAGACUGGAAUUCCUGGUGUAGCGGUGAAAUGCGCAGAUAUCAGGAGGAACACCGGUGGCGAAGGCGGGUCUCUGGGCAUUACCUGACGCUGAGGAGCGAAAGUGUGGGGAGCGAACAGG
rnacentral:rRNA from 1 species